CCAUCAUUUAAAGAAAGCGUAAUAGCUCACUGGUCGAGUCGGCCUGCGCGGAAGAUGUAACGGGGCUAAACCAUGCACCGAAGCUGCGGCAGCGACACUGUGUGUUGUUGGGUAGGGGAGCGUUCUGUAAGCCUGCGAAGGUGGCCUGUGAGGGUUGCUGGAGGUAUCAGAAGUGCGAAUGCUGACAUAAGUAACGAUAAAGCGGGUGAAAAGCCCGCUCGCCGGAAGACCAAGGGUUCCUGUCCAACGUUAAU
rnacentral:rRNA from 1 species